AAUCAACGCUGGCGGCGUGCCUAACACAUGCAAGUCGAACGCGAAAGGGGGCUUCGGCCCUGAGUAGAGUGGCAAACGGGUGAGUAACACGUGGGUGACCUGCCUUCGAGUGGGGGAGUAACGUCCCGAAAGGGACGCUAAUACCGCAUGACAUCCUGCCUUUGGACAGGCGGAGAUCAAAGCUAGGGAUCGCAAGACCUGGCGCUUGAAGAGGGGCCCGCGCCUGAUUAGCAGUUGGCAGGGUAACGGCCUACCAAGGCAACGAUCAGUAGCCGGCCUGAGAGGGCGGACGGCCACACUGGGACUGAGACACGGCCCAGACUCCUACGGGAGGCAGCAGUGGGGAAUUGUUCGCAAUGGGCGCAAGCCUGACGACGCAACGCCGCGUGGAGGAUGAAGAUCUUCGGGUCGUAAACUCCUGUCGAGCGGGAAGAUACCUGCCGGGUGAAUAGCCGGGCAGGCUGACGGUACCGCUAAAGGAAGCCCGGCUAACUCCGUGCCAGCAGCC
rnacentral:rRNA from 1 species